UUGACCCAGAAGGAAGGAAGCUCUCACUCAUCGGUCCUUUAUGACCCUUGCCAGGUCUCUGGGUCAGCGCAGAAGGGCUGGGCCAGUUCAGCUAAGUGGAAUUAGACAGUUUCAGAAUGAGAGCCCCAGACACUUACAGCAGUGAUGAGUUUCUCUCUGAAGAAUUCAAUAUUAGCAAAGAAGAUCGGAGAGGAGCAUCUGAAAAUCUUCACUCCCUCUGGCUCAUAGAUCUGCACAAUGAAGCAGAAGUAUUUUGAUGAAAUGGAUGAAAAUGAAGUUAAGGGAGAGAAUCAACUCAAAAUAGGAUGCCUACUUCCUUAAACUGCAUGAGCAUUCCUUUCAAGUUGCCAAGGGCCAAAGAUGCAAGGACUGACUGUUAAAAAGACCAAAACACAUGCUGAAUAUCUAAGCAAGCAAAGAACAUGUUGAACGUUAGGAAUUAAGAGAUCAUACUAAUAGGGCCAAAGUGCAGCUGAAGGGCUCCUAGUACAUCACAACUGAUGGAACCUCCCCAGCUGUGGUACAGGUGUCUGACUUGAGGCUGCAAAUCCCACUUACUUAUGGCACCUGAAAGCUGGUGCUGUGGUGGUUGAUGUUCGAGUAGUUGUGUUUCCUUUGAAGGACCAGAUGUAGUGGUCCUUUCUGGCAUGAUGUGGGAAAAAGAACCAAGUUUUCCAAAACCCUGCUUUGCUCCCCCUGAAGUCUAUGAACAGUCAGAGUGACUCCUAGAGCAGCCCUGUCUUUGGCAAGCAGGAGGAAGCACCAAGUGAAACCAGUGAAUACCUUCUGUAAUGGUUCCAGGAGAAACCCAAUGGCCAAGAUCACAACCAAGACGAUGACAGAUGAGAUAAUACCAGCAAUCUGCAUGAGAGAACAA